CUUUAGUUUUCUCCGCCUUAUCGAACGAGCAGCAGUUUACGAAUGACUGCAACUUACAUUCUAGCCUUCUUGUAAACUUAUUUGUCAAUGGUUCCUUGGUUUUUCUUUGGUUAAAUGUAAUGUCACAGCGUUGUGGCGAUAGUUAUCGAUAGUGUUGGGCUUAUUUCAAAGGCGUAUUGCAGCUAUGUAUAUUCCCAUUUUUAAGAACUACAGCUCCUUGCAAAUUUGCUAGUUAUUUUCCAAGCUGGUUAUUUUUGCAGUUUACAACCUUAUGGUAUUUUUAUGGCAAUCACGCAGGGUCAUACUGGGAAAACAGUUACAAAAGGAGGAUGAUAAUAGUCCAACUUUGCCACGCACACGAACUCACUGUUUGCAUUCCAAUAGAAAAUGGUAUUGGAAAUAGACGACAUUGUGGGUCCUCUACAGUGGGUGGAACCCACUGGUUCUGAUUCAUCCCCCGGCCGACUUACGCUUUCCCACUCCGUCGAGAUCUGAUGGUUGGCUCUGUAGUACUGGGCCGACGAUCGAUCGAUCGAUCGAUUGCUUUGGCACUGACACAGAAAAACUCUCGAGAAUUAUGGUACCCCUCGAUGGAUUCAAAUUAAUUGCACACAAGCACGCGUCGGCGGGCAAUUGAGUACUACUGUCAAGGCGUUUAUUAUUUAUUCCAAUAUCUUUGUGUAUCCGAGUUUUUAAUUUUCAAUCAGCAUCUGCGGAGCAGAUAACGCGACACGACAUUCGAAAGACGAAAGACGGCACUUACACAGAACAAACAGUUCGAUGGCAGAGUGGGGAAAAAAAA